GACGAACGCUGGCGGCGUGCCUAAUACAUGCAAGUUGAGCGCUGAAGGUUGGUACUUGUACCAACUGGAUGAGCAGCGAACGGGUGAGUAACGCGUGGGGAAUCUGCCUUUGAGCGGGGGACAACAUUUGGAAACGAAUGCUAAUACCGCAUAAAAACUUUAAACACAAGUUUUAAGUUUGAAAGAUGCAAUUGCAUCACUCAAAGAUGAUCCCGCGUUGUAUUAGCUAGUUGGUGAGGUAAAGGCUCACCAAGGCGAUGAUACAUAGCCGACCUGAGAGGGUGAUCGGCCACAUUGGACUGUGACACGGCCCAAUCUCCUACGGGAGGCAGCAGUAGGGCAUCUUCGGCAAUGGACGGAAGUCUGACCGAGCAACGCCGCGUGAGUGAAGAGGGUUUUCGGAUCGUAAAACUCUGUUGGUAGAGAAGAACGUUGGUGAGAGUGGAAAGCUCAUCAAGUGACGGUAACUACCCAGAAAGGGACGGCUAACUACGUG
rnacentral:rRNA from 1 species